rnacentral:lncRNA from 1 species
UGGAAGGCUCUUCUUGGCCAAUCCGGACCUACCUAAAAGGUUUGAGCUUGGCGCGCCGCUGAAUGAGUAUGACCGUUCCACAUUCUACACGCAGGAUCCAAUUGUUGGCUAUACGGAUUAUCCGUUCCUUGACGAAGACAGCAGUGACCUAACUGCAAAUGAUGCUUAAUCAUCCAGUUCAAUUGUUCGAUUGUGAUUAAUAAUGUGCUACAUUCUUGCGAGAGGCACAAGUAUUAUUUCUCCCUUCAUUGUUGCUUUGUUCUAUACAGAAUAAAAUAUCAACUCUGUUGAUCAGAUAGUCCUUUGUUUCUUUACAUCUUGUUGUUCACUGCUAUGGUUGAGGUUGCGAACAUCUUUUGAGAAAUAUUAUUGUGGCUCAGGUCCAGCAUUUCAAUUGUUGUUCCGCUGAAUGAAGGAAAUAACAGUUGGUUCAGGAAGCAGACACCAUUUACUUGACUUGAAUUCAAUUUGUCUGAAUUGGCCAUACACCAUUUAUCUAACCUGUCAAAUUUAAUAGGAAAUAAACAUAUAAUUUACUGGAUUUGAUCUCCUUUCGUACAAACACCUCACCUAACAAAUCAACUUACUGAAACAGCUACUCAGUCUGAAUCGAACCUUUUUUUUUUUGAAGGAGUAAGUCCACAUUACCCCCCUAAACCCAGCCAAAAGUCUAAGACACAACCCUAAUCUAUGAAACCGUCUAAUGGAUACCCUCUAUUUCCUGAAACCGGAUAUCAGGAUCCCCUGUUGGUGUUUAGACCCGGCAACCUAUCGAGGGGGUGCCCGAAGUAGUGUUUGGUUUGCGGGGCUCGUCGAGAUUAGGAACUCGAAGGUGAAUACAGACACACGAUUUAGACAUGUUCGGGCCGUUGAAUAGCAUAAUACUGUACGUCCUGUGUGUUGGUUGGAUUGAAUUGCUUUGGAGGGGAUCCCUGCCUCGCCUUAUCUUGCCGGGGGCAGGGUUAUAGGUCGGUUGUUUACAAGUUUGGAUUCGACUAGGCGAGUUCUACUCUAAUUUCUACGAGUAGUUUUCCUAAUCCUCAACUUGUUCUUGUCCUGCCAUGUAGACUACGCCGUUCUGCACCGUAGCCUCCAUGUCUGACACGUCUCGGUUUUCGACCCUGUAUCUGGGAUUGUCCAAACCUUCGGGGGGGGGGGGGGGAGGGGCAUAUAUGUAUGUACGAUAAGCCCCCGAGUACUUUUUAAUCAAAUGCAGCAGUUCCGAGUACUUUUGUAAACCUCACUGACUAGUUGUUGACGCAAAAUCCCAACGGUGGUGGACCCUGCAUCAGCACAUAAGGACCUGGGAGAUCUGCUUAACUCCAGUGCAAAAUCCAACUCGGUGCGCGUGGUGUGCGCGGGCGUGCCAGUCAGUUUGACCAUUCAACUGACAAGGAGAUGAUAAUCGUUGUGAAGUCCAAGGCAACUGACCGAUCAGGGCGAUGUAAUCCUGGCACAGUAGCAAUAAUGGUGCAACAAAAUAAAUCAUGACAAAUUGUUGGCGCUAGAAAUCGGUCAACCGAAUCCCCAGCGUCUGACACACGACCCGGGAGAAUCUGCUUAACUCCAUUUCGGGUGAUUGCCCUGGUGCGGUUCGCGCGGCGUGCCAGCCAAUCUGACCUGUUGAUUGGCAAGGAAGAAUACGUGUCAGAUCCAAAAGUCACGAUCGGCUAAAUUUCCGAUCUCGAGGGAGCUUAUCAGCGAAUCGGCCGAUUUGCCGUAAUAAAGAAAUCGGCUAUGAAGCAGCCGACUAUCAGGCAGCGUGAACGACGACUAAUUGAAGUAAUCGGUACAACGCUACAGUACCAACACUAGGAACAGAUCUAAUCGGAUAUGCGUGGAAUAAGUAAGUUAAACAACAGAAUAUGAGAAAAGCCGAAACUGCCGAUUCCUAGCUGGAUAACUGGUGAUAAAACUAGAAAAACAGGUAAAACCUACAAUUCUAGUAAAUAUCGAUAACUAGUGAAUAAAUCUAAACGAAACAACAGCGAUGCGCCCGAAGUUAAAGCUUAGAAUUUACUCGGUAAACGGAACUUACAAGAUCGGCCGGAGAUCAAGUUGAUGCAGCCCUGCCAACCCGUACGAACUCGUGAAAAAGAAGAAAGUAUUUGGCGAAGUCGCCUGCUUAAAAGUAAGUACGAGGAAAUAGUAAUUGGUUGUAUUGAGUAGUUGAUGAUUACAGAUCUACAAAGGUAGCUAUUUAUAGCCCCGUACACACGACUCUGAUUAGAACUCUAUCCCUAAUUCAAAUAGAAAAUGAAUAUUUACAAGUACGAUUCGUACUAGGUUGGUUAUUAUAUGCUUCAUGGGCUGAUUUCCUCUUCAUCCUUCUGCUCCUUUCCAAGCCCAUACCGGUCCAAUUAUUCCAACCUCCUAAUCAGCCGAUUCCUCAUUGGCAAAGGGUAACCGAUCGGGAACCAGCCGUGUCCGAUCCAAACCCCAAGGGUUAAGCGAGGCAGAAUUCCUAAAGAUCCAUCGGCCGAUCCUGUACUGUAGCAUCGGCCGAUCCUGGACUGUAGCACCAACCAACCGAUCUCUAACUGUAGUGCCAUUCGGCCGAUUUCCAACUGUCACCCCUGUAUUCUACUGUACCUUCCCAUUUCUUCUUCUCCUGACGCCGAUUUUACUUGUGACGAAAUCUGGCGUCAACACAUGCCCCCCAUUUUCGGAGUAAAACAUAGUCUUUUACUUCGAAAUUCUUUUCAACUUCCCCUCCGAAACAACCGCAAUGAAAAUAUCCUUCCGUUUCGCGGUCUUCAACCUGAUGAUUGGAAUCUUUUCGAAACGGGCGCCCACGACAACCACUACUCGCGAAAAACUCGAAACGUCGGCGCAGUUAGAAUUCCAUUUUUACCCUUCAUCAAGCACCCUUUAAAUAUCAGUACACCCCGCACCUCCUUUUCGAGCUCACGUCCUUCUUCCUCAGCGCGCGCGCCUUCUUCUUCCCCCAGCACUUUCUCUUAGCUCCAAAGCUUCCUAGCGCCAUCUUCCUGUCGCUUUUCCUCCUCCCCUCUAAUGGCGGCACCUUCAGGCAACUCUCCCGCGUGCGAUGCUCCAGAAAUGGCGCCUCUGGCGGAAAUAGCGACAGUGGUGGCAACGUCGUCGGAAGAAGGAGCUUCAUCCGAGAUCCCAAUGGCGAUCCCAAUGGUGGCCUCAUCCUCCGCAGCUGCACCGGCGGUCACGCCGACUACAAGGAACUUCAUCCCAGAGGUCAUUACCGAAUCCUUCCUCUAUCGGCAAUACAUUUACCUUAGAUCUAUUUCUUACUUUCGCACCCCCCUUUCCUUUUUUAGGCGGUUAGACAUCGCAUCACUAUCCAUCUAACGGGAAAUCCCGGCCUUAUCUAUCUCGGACCCAUGGGGAACCCAGAUCCAACCGAGCUCAUCAAUUUGGAAACCCAUAGAAUCCCCUUCAAACAAUCCACCAUGGACCUGGAUCACUGGUUGGGCACCUUUAGAUCUUGGCUGAAUGAAACCCCUGGUUGGAGGGAGUGGUACCAACGGAUAGCCGAACUGAAGAGGGUCCAAUGGGAUGAUCUCAAAAUCGGCCAAUGCAUCAACCUAUCUUUGUCCCAGAUGGAGCGAAAUGAACCAUUGGUGAUAGCAGCCUCUUACUUUUGGUCUGAUGCCCUCAAUGCAUUCUUGUUUGGACAUGGACCUAUGACCCCCACACUGGACGAUGUGGUUCUGCUGACUGACCUAGACAUCUCCUCCCCGGACACACCUUUCCGCCUCUUAGCCGCAACAUCGCAUCGGCUGGACACGAGAGGAAUCGGCAGGUGGAAAGGAUUUAUCAGAUGCAUCAAAAGGGCCGGGUCUAUUGAGAACAGGGAGCACACGGCCUUCUUAAUGAUGUGGUUGGAAAAACAUUUCUUUUGUGGAAGAGCAGCCGGCCCAUCAACCAACACCCAGGCUUUAGCCAAAGCACUAUCGGUAGGAACCCCUGUUCCUCUUGGAAAACACUUGCUAGGGGCGGCCUACCACAUGCUCCACCAAAUCGGCAUCAAACUUUCCAAGGGGGAGCCGAUUGGAAAUCCAGGCGGACCCUGGUGGUUCAUCAAUUUGUGGCUGAACCUGUAUAUGAGUAAGAUCUCUCAGCAGAGGGUGGAACACAUGACGUUCCCCAACAUUGAAUCGGCAGAAGAUCCCACUGCUCGGCGCCGAUGCACAUCUUUUGGUGAAGCGGCAUCAGCUUUCCCUGGUUUCCUGUACUCUGCUACGAAAGUGGCCGAGUACUUCCGAUGCUUUUACAACGGUUUCAAUGAAGAUGCAACCGUCUGGUUUCCUUAUCGGCGAGAUGACCCAAUCUUCGAACUCCCAACUUGCUUCGACUCGACCACUGGCUGAUUCGACGAGGACCUCACCGAUGAGUUAAUCAAGCCGGGAAUUCUGCCAGCCAACUUCUUUUCAGGGAAAGAUGCUCCUACAUAUGAGUUCUACAAUCCCUCUGCUGCAACACGUCAACUUGGCAUGGGUCAGCUGCCGAUUCAAGUGUAUUUUGCUGGCCGAGCCAAGUUCAGAGAUGGGCUUACAACAGGUCUGGACUACAGUCGGCUGCGAGACCGGAUCCCAGACUCCACCACUAUUGACUUGAACAACUGGAUAGUAGCUCCCUUCGCUGUCCAGCCUUUCAAGCUUUGGUGGGCCGAAUGGAAACAAUUCCUUUUCCGCAACUCCGCAUCGGCAUAUUGCAAUCUCUUGGACCCAACCAACAUCGACCCGAACGCCGAGGUAUUUUUCCUUAGCCGAUUUUUAUUCUUUUAUCGACACGGCUGAACACUAACGUUUUGCUAUUGCUUCAGUCCGAGAACCGUGUCCCCCCAACACACAGCUGGAGUGGUCGGCUAAUAGAAGAUCAUCAUCCGUACACCACCUUCCCUCUUAUCGGCUAUGAUGCCCCGUCCGUGGACGUGAUUGCUGGCCGAUCGAAGCAAGCACAGAAGAGAGUCACUAAGAAGACCAGUCGCCGAGUUCGGGCCCGUAUAGAAUCGGUGGAUCCUCCCACGAUCGUAUCAGCAGAGACUUCGGCCGCACCACCUCUUCCAGCUGCCAGAGACAUCGACACUCAAGUUGUCGCGCAAGCCGGGGCAGCCGCUGCGUCACUACUGUUAGAGGCCGUGCAGGUAAACUUAUGUUUAACCCUUCCGAUUGUUGUUUUGAUAUUAAUCCUUCUUAUCUUAGACUGCACAGAUUACCCCUAUGGACACACAAUAAUCGGCAGCAACCCAAUCGGCCAUGGACGCGCCCCCGCUUCCAUCCGUUGAGGUAUAACACUAUUUCACCGAUUCCCCUAGUAUUUGAAUAAUAUGCUCAUUCAACCUUCUGACACAGGUCAUCGGCACGCCAAGCGCCCCUCAACCACUGGUCCCCUCUCGGGAAGCUGGUCCAAGCACAGCGCCAAUCAUCGUGGAAUCUUCUUCCUCUGACAAACCCAUGGCACCAGCCCCUGAACCGAGGAUGACAGCUUCCCAAAUGCAGCUUGAGGAAAUCCGAUUCAAAGAGGUAAGAAAUCCUUCAAUUUAUUUAGCCGAUUUGCUAUCACCAUCAGCUGAUUUAUUUUUCUUCUUUAUUAUUUCCAGGAACAGGACACCCCCGACAACAGCCUCUUCUCUUUUGCGGUCGCCCUCUCUGACGACGGAGAAGUCGCCUCCCGCCAGGUCACCUUGAGCUCCAUCCCCGACGACGUCCGAGCCAAGCUUACCAGCAUCCGAUCCCUUCUUCAAGGAGACAUCGGCUGAUUGGUAGAAGAUGCCUCGCCGAUUCGGCAGCUCUUUGGUGACGUCAGCGGACGAGUGCCAGAAGAAGCGGAGGAAGCCUUGGCGCCGGCCGCAUACAUCGAGUCGAUGAGGAUCCCGGUCUUCAGAGCCCUUCGUCACAUGGCCGAUCGCGCCAAGUUGGCCAAGACCCGUGAAGAAGAGGAUGCGUACAAACGCCAGGCCCAAGAGGUGCACCAACGUAUUCAUUUUCUGGAGGACUCCCGCUCAGGGAUCGUCGGUGAGAUAGACCGCCUCAAAUGCCGAAGGGCAGAGCUCGCCAAGGAGAUGGAACAGGUGACCAAAGCGAUAAACGCCGAAGAGAAAAGGCUCCAAGAACUCCCUUCCGUCAUCGCCGAUUUAAAAUAGGAGAGGCAGCAUUUGGCCCACGAAGCCCUAAAACUCCACCGCAGUGCAUUAGAAGUCCCCGGAUCGGCGGAUGAUGACCAACGGGUUUUGGACUCUGCCGAUCAGAUCCGGCGUCGAGCGAUUGCGGCUAUCGAUGCCCUCCUGGGUAAUCUGUAAAAGUACUGACUAUUUUGUACGAACCUUUAAUGACUGCUUUGACCGUCCUUCAUGACGCCUCUUUUAUUCAUUGCCUUUCUUACUUCCGACGGGACGCACCUUUACCGAAUACCUACGCCUCUUUUUCUUAUAAAUGCCGGCCUAGACCCUCCUUCCGAGAGUACCAGUUUGGCUCGGCUUUGUUUUCUCAACCUGCUCUCGUCGGCGCGACCUUCAGUUAUGUCUUCCUCAUCUUCCUCUUCCUCUGUCAACCAGGUGAAAAUCUGGCCUCGAUCCUUCUUCUCUAUUUAACUCUUUUGAAAGGGAUUACCUUUUUAAUCGUUCUUUUCUUCAGCCACGGCGUCUUAGCCCUGAACUUGAACGCGCCAUCGAGCUCAUGCACUCUGAUGAACCGUUGUCGUCAGAGGACAAGGAUUUAAUCAGCGCUCAUCGUGACGAACUUCAAGAACAUGUCCCUACUGACAUCCGUCGGAUUUGGGACUUUCUGGACGGCAACGCCCGCCGGCGACCUCAAGCCGACAGAAGUCAUCCGCUUCCUCCGCGCGUCGCCCUUGAAGAUGCGGCAACAGGAACAUCACGCCCAGCCAUGGACCGGAGCCACCCUCUCCCCAGUCAAGUCGAAGCGGAGGCUUCGAUGAAAGAGAUAGAAGAAGAGUACAUCCGUCUUAUGAUAGAGUUAGGUCGGGCUGAGAGAGAGCGUAAGAAAAAGAAUGGUUAAUUAUUAUUUUUUUUGUUCUAAGGGUGACUUGUACCUUGUCGGCCGUGUAACCCACCGUCCGUACCGAAUGAAUACAUCGGCCGAUUUGGACGAUUACAUGUUUUUUCUAGACGAACCGUUUUGUAUCGGCCGUGUGCCGUUGUAUUGUGAACAAUCCUUUAUGCUCCGACCCAUAUACUAGGGUAGUAUCUUUUCAAGUAUCUUUCAUUCAGAGCCCUAGUAAACUCUUCUCACUCGAUUGUUUCCAAAAUAUAAGAAUUUCCUGGAGCACAUCUGCCGAUUUUAUACGGCCCUUCCCAUGUAGGGGACCACUUUCCGAAUUUAGGAUCCUUCGACCCGAUCGGCAAUACUAACUUCCAAACCAAGUCCCUAGGGGAGAAUUGUUUGACUUUGACCUUCUUAUCGUACCACCUCGCUACUUUCUUCUUGUUUUCCUCAAUGCUUAUCACAGCUCUCAAUCGCUGGCCAGCCAAGUCAUCAAGUUCCCUUUUCAUGAGUGACGAGUAGUCGUCGGCCGUUAACUGGUCCUGGAGCGAAAUGCGCCUCGACCCCACCCUUGAUUCCCACGGUAGUACUGCGUCGUGACCGUACACCAACUGAUAAGGGGAUAACUUGGUGGCCCCAUGACAAGCCAUCCUGUAUGCCCAUAGGGCUUCAGUUAGACAUAGAUGCCAUUUUUUCGGCUGCUCCUCUAUCUUCCUUUUGAUUAACUUAAUUAUCCCUUUGUUGGAGGACUCGGCCUGGCCAUUAGCUUGGGCGUAAUAUGGAGAGGAGUUUAAUAAUUUGAUUCCCAUAUCGGCUGUGAAUUCCUCGAAUUCCCCUGAUGUGAACAUUGUUCCCUGAUCGGUUGUAAUAGUCUGGGGAAUGCCGAAUCGGUAGACGAUAUGGUCCCUUACGAAGUCGGCCAUGGUUGCCGAUGUCACGGCUCUUAACAGAAUCGCUUCCACCCAUUUGGUAAAGUAAUCGGUAGCCACCAGAAUAAAUUUGUGCCCUUUGCUUGAUGGAGGGUAAAUUUGGCCGAUAAGGUCUAUUCCCCAUCCUCUGAACGGCCAAGGCUUGAUAAUGGGGUUCAUGGCCGAUGCGGGCGCACAUUGGACAUUCUCGACUUUCUGACAAUCCUGGCAUCCCUUAUAAUAUUUGAAGCAAUCUUCGAGGAUCGUCGGCCAGUAAUACCCAUUAUUCCUGAUCAUCCAUUUCAUCUUAUGGGCCGAUUGAUGGGCUCCACACACCCCUUCAUGGAUUUCUCCCAUCAGAGUCUUAGCAUCCUCUGUUCCCAGACAUUUGAGUAGAACGCCGUCAAUCGUUCGGUAGAAUAAGUCGUCUUCAAGCAGUACGUAUUUAGUAGCAUGGAAACGCACUCGUCGAUCCACUUUCUUAGACGGGUCUUUCAAGUAGUCGGCAAUUUCUUUUCGCCAGUCAUCGGCCGCAAGUUCCAGAGCCAUAGUGCCUAGAAUUGGCCGAUAUCCAGAUGCGUGCUAGGCGAGUUUGUUGGCAUCCUCGUUGUGAUCCCUUGGGAUGUGCUCGAUUACUGCCGAUUUAAAUUCUUUUAGGAGCUGCAGGCAAUCUUCGUAAUAAAGUCUCAAUACAUCGUCCUUGCAUUCGGACCUCCCCGUUAAUUGAUCCACAAUAAGCAUGGAAUCUCCAAAGACUUCAACAGAAUCGGCCUUGACUUCUCUUAGUAGUUGUAAACCCUUCAAUACCGCCCGGUACUCUGCUUGAUUGUUAGUGGCGGUGGCUUCUAUCGGCAGAGAAAAAUCAUAACUUGCCCCCCGAGGCAAUAUGAGGACAAUGCCGAUUCCUGAUCCGACCCCACAUGACGAUCCAUCAAAGUAUAAAGUCCAAGGCGCCGGUUCUACGAGGGUAGUCUCUGGUCCGCAGUGUUGGGCGACGAAAUCGGCCAUGACCUGACCCUUGACGGCUUUCGCCGAUUCAUACCGUAGGUCAAACUCUGACAAAGCUAAGAUCCAUUUGCCGAUUCGUCCUUUCAAGAUCGGCAGUGACAGCAUGUAUUUUACUACGUCGUCUUUGCAUACGACCACACAUUCCGCCGACAGUAAAUAGUGCCUGAGUUUGGUACAUGAGAAGUAAAGACAUAGGCACAACCGCUCCACUGGAGGAUAUCUUGUUUCAGCGUCCAGAAGUCUUCUACUGACAUAAUAAAUUACUCGUUCCUUUCCUUCGAAUUCCUGGACUAGAGCCGACCCAAUGGCCUUUUCAUCGGCUGAUAAAUAUAGUUUAAAUGGCUUACCAGUUUGAGGAGGGACCAAUACAGGUGGUGAGACCAAGUACUGCUUGAUAUCUUCCAGUGCCUUGCGUUGCUCCUCCCCCCAUAUGAACUCCUGGUCGAGCUUCAACUUUAACAGCGGUGUGAAAGCCUGGAUCCGCCCAGAUAGAUUAGAUAUAAAUCUUCUGAUGAAAUUCACCUUGCCAAUUAGAGACUGCAAUUCAGUUUUAUUCUGCGGGGCCACGACUUUGUUGAUAGCCGCUAUGGUCUUCCGAUUGAUUUCUAUUCCCCGCUCGUGCACCAUGACUCCUAAGAACUGUCCGGCGGACACGCCGAAGGCACAUUUAUUUGGGUUCAUCUUCAGCCCAUGUUUCUUAGUGCAUUCCAGCACUUUUCGCAAAUCGGCCAGGUGCUCUUCGUGUCCUUUGGACUUGACUACGACGUCAUCGAUGUAGAUUUCUACCAGAAUGCCGAUGAGUUUGUGGAAUAUGUAGUUCAUGGCUCUCUGAUACGUGGCGCCGACGUUUUUCAAGCCAAAAGUCACCACCACCCAUUGGAAUAAACCAAGGUGGCCUGGGCAUCUAAAGGCCGUUUUGGGUAUGUCCUCUUCGGCCAUAAGUAUUUGAUUGUACCCAGCGUUUCCGUCCAUGAAGCUAAUAAUCUUGUGUCCUGCGGCGGCGUCUAUUAGCACAUCGGCUGUUGGCAUGGGGUACCCGUCCAUCGGUGUGGCCUGAUUAAGAUUCCUGAAAUCAACGCACACGCGUAGCUUUCCGUUCUUCUUGUACACUGGUACAAUGUUGGAGAUCCACUCGGCAUAACGGCAUUGCCGAAUAAAUUUGGCUGCAAUUAGCCGAGUUAUUUCGGCUUUUAUGUCUGGUAGAAUUUUAGGAUUGCACCGCCGUGCCGGUUGUUGAUAUGGCUGAUAUCCUGGUUUUAUGGGUAGCCGAUGUUCAACGAUAGAUCGAUCUAAUCCAGGCAUUUCAUGAUACUCCCAAGCAAAAUAAUCCUUAAAUUCUCUUAACAAAUUUAUCAGUUUACAUUUGUAUUUCGAGUCUAAAUUUGCACUAAUAUAAGUCGGCAUUGACUUGGUGCCGUCGCCUAAGUCUACCAUCUCUAAUGAAUCAGCCGACGUGAACCCGUGCCCUAGCUUCCCAUCUUGUCGGGCGAACUGAUCCAUUUAAUCUGAGUCUUCAGAGCUGACUGCUCGGAUCGGCUGUAGGCCAAAAUUGGACACCUUCAGGAAGUCGGUAUCCCAUACUCUACCGGAUAUGCACUUGACGGUUUCGCAGCUCCACUGCUGCGUGUCGGCUGCCGCGAUGCUGUAUGUGGAAUCGACGUUGACCACCUCGAUGUUGUCGCCGACCCAUUGUACAAGACAUUGAUGCAUUGUCGAUGGGAUGCAACAAUUUGCGUGUAUCCAGUCUCGGCCGAGUAGCAUGUCGUAGGAUCCCUUGCCAUUAAUAAUAAAGAAGGUAGUGGGAAGGGUCUUACUGCCGAUGGUGAGGUCGACGCAGAGGGCGCCGCGAGCGGGAGACACAUUGCCCUCGAAGUCUUUGAGCAUCAUGUCUGUCUUGGUCAAGUCAUCAUCGCUUUUUCCAAGCUUCCGGAGCACGGCAUAUGGCAUGAUAUUGACUGCGGCUCCUCCGUCCACCAUUAAUCUGGUGAGGGGUCGGCCGUUGACAUGCCCUUUAAGGAACAACGCUUUCAGAUGUUGCCGUUUGUCGUCUUCGGGCUUCUCGAACGUGGCUAUCAUGGGCUCCAAAGUCAAUUGUGCCAUCUGUUCUUCUAUCGCCGACAUAUCCUGUCGGUCGGCAGGAGUCAUAAAUUCCAUCGGCAGUAUAAAAACCAUACCGAUGUCGGCUGCCGAUUCAUCGCCUGCCGAUUCGUCGCCCCCUCUAUCAUUUCUUUUGGGGCGCCACACCCGAGACCUGCCUUCCCUCUUGUCCGUCGUGCAUUGUUGUUCUUCCUCCUGCUGCUCCCAUUGGCGGAGAUGUUGGAUCCUUCGUUUUUGAGAUUUGGUCAAUCUGUCGGGACACCACCUGGGGUUUACUAGUUUGGUUCUUGGCCUGGCGCGUUCCCACUCCGGCUCGCGUCCUAAAGGGUUUUCGUCUGGCACCCGAGCGUCGGCCAUCUCUUCAAGCCGAUUGUGAACGUUGGCCCUGUUUUCUGGCCGGUCAUGUCGAUCAAACUUGCCCCCCGGCCUGUCAUGGCGUCUGUCUUCCGACCGGUCAUAUCGGUCACUUCUACCCCCCGGCCGAUCACGCACGGGAGGGCGCCGAUCGUCUUGGUCGCGCCAGUUCCUGCUGAUCGGUUCUGGUCUCCUAUCUCUGGAGCGAGACCUGUUGAAUGGCCGAUUGUUACGAUACGGGCCGUGGCAUUCAGGGCAAUUAUCGGCCGAAGGUAGCCUGAGGUUGCUCUCCCAACAGUGGAUGAAGAACGGGCACCUCCAGUGAUCUUCGUGUCGCCGCAUCGCUUCUUCCCGGGAUCUUGAGCGUUCAUGCUGCCGCUGAUAUUUUUGGAGCAGGAAUUGGGAAGUAAUGCGUGGCUCGCCCGAUUCACCGUCGUCGUCCUCGAUCCGCCGCUUCCCCUUGACAUCUUCAGGUGUAGCUUGAUUCCUGGGGUCUACGGCACCACUCUUUUUAGCCGAUUCGGACGUCAGCACCUUUGUUUGGAGCGAGUUCCUUCCUGUGUCAACCAUGUUGGUAGGGAAGGGGUGCUGGUCGAUCUUCAUCGGCUUGGCUGAUUUUGUUGGUACUUCAAACUUAAGUCUGCCCUGCUCAAUGGCCGACUGUAUCUGUUGCCGAAAGAUUUUGCACUCAUUAGUGUCAUGGGAUGUAGCGUUGUGCCAUUUGCAAUAUUUCAUCUUCUUCAAUUGUUCGGUAGAAGGUUUUGUAUGAUAUGGCGAGAGCUUGAUCUGUCCUUCCUGGAGGAGAAGGUCGAAGAUUUUAUCGGCCUUCGUCAUGUCAAAGCCGAACGUUUCUGGCUCUUUCUUGCCGAACGGGCAUGAUAUUGGCUUAUUUUCCUUGACCCACUCCGCAAGACCGACCUCAGCAUCUUCUUCGGCUUCAACCUCUUCCAGGAACGCCACCUUCUUCCUGAAGUUCCUCCGUGGAUCGAAAGAACGUACCUCCUGUCCAGACAAACGGUGGACGAUUUGGCUUAAGCUCUCAAACUCCUGUGAGGCGUACUUUUCUUUGAUGUGGGGCAGGAGACCUUGAAAGGCUAUAUCAGCCAGCUGUGCGUCGUUUAGAGCUAAAGAGUAGCAUUUGUUCCUGAUUUCCCGAAACCUCUGUACAUAUGAGGAUAUCGGCUCGUCGCUUCUCUGCUUGAGGAUGGUCAAAUCGGACAGCUUCAUCUCAUGCACCCCGGCGUAGAAGUAUUUAUGAAACUGUCUUUCCAAAUCGGCCCAUGUAAUAAUCGAGUUCGGCGGUAAUGUCGUGAACCACUGGAAGGCCAACCCAGACAGAGAUGACGAGAAUAGCCGCACCUGUAGAGCGUCUUGCGCUGCUGCCUCUCCACAUUGGAUGAUGAACCUGUUAACGUGUUCCACGGUUGAAGUGUCAUCCAUCCCCGAGAACUUGGUGAAGUCAGGAACUUUAUACCGAUGGGGAAACGGCAAUAGGUCGUACGUAGACGGGUAUGGUGUCCUAUAAGUGUAAGUCUGUACCUUCGACUUCAAGCCGAAUUGUUCCUGAAUCACUUCUGCUAUACGUGCCGACCAGUCCGGCUGUUGCUGGUAAACUGUUGGCUGAGGGACUGGCACGUGCUGGUAUAUCGGAGGUGGAAUGGCCUGAUGCUGAGUGAAAGUAGGUGGCAUCUGAGUGAAAGCCGGCUGUGUAUUCAGGGUCGGCUGUUUGAAUGAGCCACUCGUUUCAUCGUAUAGUACGAGCUCCGCUGCUUUACUCAUCUCUGGUGCGAUAGGCUGGUACGGCGGCAUAGUUGGUCGAGUGGCUGCUUGGAAAGAUGCCUGGAAUUGGGGACUUCCCUGACCGGCCGAUUGAUCCUGAACGGCCGUAGCUGAUGGUGCCCCCCAAGGCGCUGGGCUAACUGGAGGGAACGGCGCAGAGGACAGCUGGACGGGGUGUGGCUGAAGGUGUUGUGUACCAUUAUACCCCAUAGGAUUUGAUGAAGAGGAAGCGCCUGAACCCCCAACGGGAAAUUGGAUCGGCUGAGAAGCCGAAUAACCCUUGUUUGGUGGAAUCGGCUGAGUAUAUGCCGGUCCCUUGUAUCCUUGAGAUGCUUCGCUAGCCAUGGAGCUGAUGACGGCAUUGUACACCGUAUUUGCAAGCAUCGGGGAUUGAUCAAUGAAGGCGUGAUAAACGGACUGUUGGACCAUCUCGGCCAUCCUGUCCGAGUCCUCGGUGAUUGUGAUUUGGCGGGGAGUUGGAAACGGAGACUGUUUGAUAGUCUCCCCACUUCUGGUGCGACUGAAGGACUGCAGGCAAGCUUUCCGGUAUUGUGCCGCCUGUUUCUCGAGUUCUUCCUUCUGGUCGUCCCUGAGAUCUGCCUCUGUCACUUCGAUGACGUUAUCUUCGGAGACUUCAGCAGCUUUCGACAUGGUGGCGGUUGUAUUUGUCCCACUGGGCGUGCCAAAAGUGUGUUGGCGCUAGAAAUCGGUCAACCGAAUCCCCAGCGUCUGACACACGACCCGGGAGAAUCUGCUUAACUCCUAUUCGGGUGAUUGCCCUGGUGCGGUUCGCGCGGCGUGCCAGCCAAUCUGACCUGUUGAUUAGCAAGGAAGAAUACGUGUCAGAUCCAAAAGUCACGAUCGGCUAAAUUUCCGAUCUCGAGGGAGCUUAUCAGCGAAUCGGCCGAUUUGCCAUAAUAAAGAAAUCGGCUAUGAAGCAGCCGACUAUCAAGCAGCGUGAACGACGACUAAUUGAAGUAAUCGGUACAACGCUACAGUACCAACACUAGGAACAGAUCUAAUCGGAUAUGCGUGGAAUAAGUAAGUUAAACAACAGAAUAUGAGAAAAGCCGAAACUGCCGAUUCCUAGCUGGAUAACUGGUGAUAAAACUAGAAAAACAGGUAAAACCUACAAUUCUAGUAAAUAUCGAUAACUAGUGAAUAAAUCUAAACGAAACAACAGCGAUGCGCCCGAAGUUAAAGCUUAGAAUUUACUCGGUAAACGGAACUUACAAGAUCGGCCGGAGAUCAAGUUGUUGCAGCCCUGCCAACCCGUACGAACUCGUGAAAAAGAAGAAAGUAUUUGGCGAAGUCGCCUGCUUGAAAGUAAGUACGAGGAAAUAGUAAUUGGUUGUAUUGAGUAGUUGAUGAUUACAGAUCUACAAAGGUAGCUAUUUAUAGCCCCGUACAGACGACUCUGACUAGAACUCUAUCCCUAAUUCAAAUAGAAAACGAAUAUUUACAAGUACGAUUUGUACUAGGUUGGUUAUUAUACGCUUCAUGGGCUGAUUUCCUCUUCAUCCUUCUGCUCCUUUCCAAGCCCAUACCGGCCCAAUUAUUCCAACCUCCUAAUCGGCCGAUUCCUCAUCGGCAAAGGGUAACCGAUCGGGAACCAGGCGUGUCCGAUCCAAACCCCAAGGGUUAAGCGAGGCAGAAUUCCUAAAGACCCAUCGGCCGAUCCUGUACUGUAGCAUCGGCCGAUCCUGGACUGUAGCACCAACCAACCGAUCUCUAACUUUAGCGCCAUUCGGCCGAUUUCCAACUGUCACCCCUGUAUUCUACUGUACCUUCCCAUUUCUUCUUCUCCUGACGCCGAUUUUACUUGUGACGAAAUUUGGCGUCAACACAAAUAUAUUAUCGGACUUCUAUAGUUAGUUUCGGAACAUGAAGCCUUCAUACUCCGAAACUGGGGCCUAUGUUAACACCAAAAUUUGGAAAUAUGCUGUGAAAGGAAGGAAUCGGCCGAUGAUGCAAAAAAUGACGAAAUCUCCUAACUAAGGCUAUUUGCAAGCUGACCGUAGAGAUAAGGAACAUGUGCAUGAAGAAAGAGAAAGCAAGAAAGCUAGAAGAUUAAAAGAAGUCAACGCACACAUGUACACGGCAAGAGUUCCAAUAGUCUGGCGUCCAAGGGAAGUGCACGUACGGGAGGUUGUUUUAUAUAAUAAAAUAUUUUGGAGAUAGAGUUGGUUAGGGAUAAGCUUGAUUAGAGAUAGAGUUGGGUUAGUUAGAGAUAGAGUUUUGAUUAGAAAAUAUUAUGUACGUGACUUGCCUUGUACGUGAUUAAAAUGCCAAUUAUGUAACGUCAAAGGCCAUCCGCCCUAUAAAUAUAAAGGGUCCUGGCCAUUGUAAUGAUCAUCACACGAUCAAUAUAUAACACAUUUAUCUUUUAUUUACCUUUUCGGCUUCAAGCCAUUGCAUUAGGAGUAGGAGUAAUGUAGCUUCUCGACGAGUUCCUUCUAGCAAGCUGGGCUGCAUCGACCUCGAUCUCCGGCGAGCUGCAAGUUCCGUCAUCAGGUGUUCUAGGCUUUAACCACCGGGCGUAUCGCUGUGGUUUCGUCUAGUUUCAUCUACCAGUUAUCGAGUAUCUUGGAUCUUUGACUUACGGUGCAUCGCUUCUGUCUUGAUCUACGAUAUUCACCAGUUAUCCUGCCUUGAUUAAGUCUUCAUCGGCUGAUAUUUAUCUGUUCUAUCAUCUUGCCGUUCAGUUUGCUUUAAUUAGCUUUAGAUCGGUUCAUUAUAGAUGACAGAUCGCUUAAUAGCCUGUUGCAUCUUAAUCUUGGUUACCCCUUCGAGUGCUGUUGGGAUUAAGUUUCGUUAUCAUUGGAUUCAUCGGCUGGUGGGGUUCAGAUUAACAUCCUGCUAAAUAUUUCUAGACUGCAACUAUCGGGCACAUCGCUGUGGUUUCAUCUAGAGAUAUUGGUGGAGAGUUUAGUUUAGAUCUCAUCGGUUUGUGGCUCUAGCUAUGAUGGAGCGGCAGGUCAAUAGCAUCCUGUUUUCUAUCGGCCGCCUGGCCGAUGGUUAUUGUAAAUUAUAUUAAAUCGGAUGGAUGGCCGAUGAAUCACUCACAUUCAUCAAGCCACUGGAAUCGGCUUCACAGCUAAUAUAUUUGUCAUGAUUUAUUUUGUUGCACCAUUAUUGCUACCGUGCCAGGAUUAUAUCGCCCUGAUCGGCCGGUUGCCUUGGACUUCACAACGACUAUCAUCUCCUUGUCAGUUGAAUGAUCAAACUGACUGGCACGCCCGCGCACACCACACGCGCCGAUUUGGAUUUUGCACUGGAGUUAAGCAGAUCUCCCAGGUCCUCAUGUGCUGAUGCAGGAUCCACUACCGUCGGAAUUUUGCGUCAACACAUUUUGGCACGCCCGGUGGGACACGAGGAAGCAUUGGCUGAUUAAAAAUGCAUCAGCCAAUUGGAAUAAAAAAAAAGAGGGAGUUGUAUCGGCUGAUUACGGAAAAUAUCGACUGAUUACAAAAAUCGGCUGGCUUCUUUAUUAACAUUGCCUCUUUUCAGCCGAUGGACAUAAAAGAGCAGCCGAUGGUCAAAGGAACAAAUUGAAAAAAAAAAGAAAGAGAAGCAGUCGGCCGAUGGGAAAGGAAUAAAUGAAUUUUAAAAAAGGGAGCAGUCGCCCGAUGGAAUAUCGAAGGAAUAAAUAAAAGAAGAAGAAAAAGGAGCAGCCAGCCGCUGGUCUCUGAAAAAUAUGUAGAACAAUUUGGUAAACGUGGUUAGCAAACUCGCAUCCCACAGUUCCGUGUUUAUAUAGUGUUGGAGGCUGUCACAAAAUACAUGAGAUAGAUUACAGCUUGUCUUUUGAGCAUACGGUUAAACCAUCCUAACUCUACCAAGGACGUUACAAUAUUCUAGGACUCUAUCUCUCGGAGCUGGAUAGACUCGUGCACCUUAUCCUUGCCUUGCGUCAUACCUCAACCAGGUUGCCGUGCGUUAGCUUGAGUAGUCCUGUACCAACACGUUUUGCUUAACAGCCCCUCUCAAUCUUAACCCGGUUUCUUAACCAUGUUAAGAUUGUGUCUGAACAUCUUAAAUUUCUGUGUAGCAAGUGCUUUUGUAAAACCAUCUGCUAGUUGAUCUUCUGAGGGUAUAAACCGAAUCUCCAACUGUUUCUUUGUAACCCUUUCUCACACAAAGUGAAAAUCAAUCUCAAUAUGCUUAGCUCUUGCAUGGAACACUGGAUUUGCUGAGAGAUAUGUUGCUCCAAGGUUAUCACACCAUAGAUGAGGAAUUUGAUAUUUUACUCCCAAUUCUCUUAGCAACGUCUCUACCCAAAUUAAUUCAGCAGUAGCAUUAGCAAGAGAUUUGUACUCAGCUUCUGUACUAGAUCUUGACACUGUAGGCUGUUUCCUGGCACUCCAAGAAAUCAGGUUCGGCCCAAAAAAGACAGCAAACCCUCCUGUCGACCGACGAUCAUCAACGCAUCCUGCCCAGUCUGCAUCAGAGAAUGCACUGACCAUAACUGAGUCUGAUGCUUUAAUACUCAACCCCAUACUGAUCGUUCCUUUAACAUAUCUUAAGAUCCUCUUUGCUGCACUCCAAUGAGUUGUUGUUGGCGCAUGCAGGAACUAACAAACUUUGUUUAUAGCAAAUGCUAUAUCUGGCCGAGUCAGAGUCAAAUAUUGCAACGCCCCUACUAUGCUUCGGUACCGAGUUGAGUCACCCGGCAACAGAAGUUCUCCAUCUUCCCUUGACAUCCUUUCAGCUUAGGACAAAGGAGUUGGUGAUUCUUUGCAAUUCAACAUACCAACUCUCGUCAAAAUAUCUCUUGCAUAUUUUUCUUGACACAAUUGAAUACCUCCUUGCAUCGGCUGAACUUCUAUACCAAGAAAAUAGUUUAGACUUCCGAGAUCUUUAAGGGCAAACUCCUCUUUCAAAUCCUUUAGUAACGCUGCCACAGCCUCAGACGAUGAGCUGGUUACAAUGAUAUCGUCCACAUAUAUAAGCAUGAAGAUUGUGACACCUCCUUUUGAGUAGAUAAAUAGCGAAGUAUCUGAUUUUGAAGCCUUAAAGCCAAGAUCACACAAUUUUGAACUGAGCCGAGCAUACCAGGCUCGAGGAGCUUGUUUCAAGCCAUAUAACGCCUUGUCUAGUCUGCACACAAAAUCAGGACACUUUGCAUCCUCAAAACCUGGCGGCUGUCUCAUAUACACCUCUUCUUCAAGAAUGCCAUGUAAGAACGCAUUCUGAACGUCCAACUGUCGUAGACACCAUCCUCUUGCAACAGCUAUAGAUAGAACCAAACGAACAGUAGCAAUUUUUACGACAGGACUGAAAGUAUCCUCAUAAUCAAUCCCAUACCUUUGCUUAAAUCCCUUCGCGACUAGACGAGCCUUGUAUCUAUCAAUGCUUCCAUCAGAUUUCCUUUUCACCUUGUAGACCCAUUUGCAAUCAAUAAGAUUUACACCUGGCUUAGGUGAAACUAAAUGCCACGUCUUAUUUCGAUGCAACGCAUCAAUUUCCUCCUUCAUAGCUUGAGUCCAACGUGAAUCACCAAGUGCCUCAGCCAAGGAGUCAGGUUCUCCUGUGGAGCAGAAACCCGUAUAGCGAAUUGUGCCAUCCGUAUAUGUCUUUGGUUUAAAAAUACCAUGCUAGGACCUCGUCAUCACACGUUGCUGCUGCUGUGCACCGGGAACCGCAGAAGAUCUGGCCUGGUCAGCUACCGCAGAGUUCGUAGAACAUCCGUCCGAGCUUCCCCCUGUUGCUGGCGCGCUGUCCGGGGUGGAUCCGCUCGACGCCAAUUGCUGGCUACCAGCGCUCUCGCCAAACAGAGGCGAGGCAGGAGACGCGCCUGGCGUGUACGGUGGAGAAUCGGCCUGAGAGUCUGAAGCGGCCGGAAACGGAUAUGAGUGCAUCUGAGUUUCUGUGCCACAUUGUCUGGCAGCUGGAAUUUGCAAGCUUACGCCUGGAAACAAGCCUAACGCAUCUGUUUCAUCCCUGCGUGCUUCCUGUGCAUCAUCAACACUAGAAAAAUUGUUAUGAGGGUUAGAUAAUACCAAAUCAUUACUAUUUGCUCCCCCAAAAUUAGGACGAAGGUGUGAAGGAAGGAGUAGGAUCUCUUGGUGAAGUCUCGCCUCGGCAUUAUCAUGGAGAGCUUCAAAAGGAAAUACUUCUUCAUCGAAUACGACAUUUCGAGAAAUAUACACUCGCCCUGUCGAAAUAUCUAGGCACUUGUAACCUUUGUGGCGUGAACUAUAACCAAGAAAAGAACAUCUGACAGAGCGGAAAGCGAGCUUUUUAGCAUUAAAAGGUCUAAGAUUCGGCCAGCAGGCACACCCGAAUACUCGAAGAAAGGAAUAGUUGGGUUUUUCAUGACACAUUAGCUCAAGAGGGGAUUGAUAAUUGGUGACCUUGCUGGGGAGGCGGUUGAUGAGAUAGGUGGCAGUGAGGAAAGCCUCAUCCCAAAACUUCAGAGGCAUGGAAGCUUUAGCAAGAAGAGCUAACCCAACUUCUACUAUAUGACGAUGUUUGCUUUCAGCGGCUCCAUUCUGUUGAUGUGCAUGAGGACAAGAAACACGAUGAGUUAUCCCAGUCUUUUGAAAGAAGGAAUUUAGCUUUUCAUACUCACCUCCCCAGUCUGUUUGCAUAGAAAGAAUUUUCUUAUCAAAUUGUCUCUCAACUAGUCUUUGGAAAUCCAGAAAUACAUCGAACACAUCUGAUUUGUUUUUAAGAAGAUAAAUCCAGGUGUAGCGACUGAAAUCAUCAAUAAAACUGACAUAGUAGGUAAACCUCCCAACAGAUGUGGGCGCCGGCCCCCACACAUCAGAGUGGAUCAAAGCAAGAGGAGCAGAAGCUGAAUUUUCAGACAUAGAAUAAGGUAACUGAUGACUUUUAGCUCUUUGACAUGAAUCACACACUGACUCGAUAGUAUUAUUGCUAACAAAAGGUAGAUUAUGAGCUCUAAGAACACGAGAAACUAUAGGAAAAGCAGGAUGUCCUAGACGACUAUGCCACCGUUCUGUCGUCAGUCUGCUCACGGCUAGGACUUCUUUAUUGGGGAUGCCACCUGACUUGUAUGGCACCAAAGGAUAGAGACCCCCUUCACAUCUUCCUCGAUGAAGAAUUUUCCUCGUUGCUCGAUCCUUGAUAAGGAAAAAGUUGGGAUGAAAUUCAAAAAGAACAUUGUUGUCAAGUGCAAGGCGAUGAAUGGAAGCAAGGUUUUUAUGUGAGCUUGGAACAUGUAGAAUAUUUCUUAAGAAAAGAUCGCGGAAAGGGGUUUGCAAAAUAGAAUGACCGAUAUUAUUAAUCCUCAUACCUUGGCCGCUUGCCGAAUAUACUUGAUCUCGACCGCCGUAUUUUUCUUGCAUAGUUAACUUCUCCAGAUUCGAGGUAAUGUGAUCUGAGGCUCCACUAUCAGCAUACCAGUUUGUAUCAAUCCCAUAGGCUGCAGCAGGACCGGAGUUGGACGUCUUGUUGCUGUUUGCUUGAUUAUCAUCAUCAUACCUGUACCAGCACUCCCUUGCUGUAUGAUUUGGCCGGUCACAUAUCUGGCACUUUGGCUUGUUGUUUCCCUGGCCCUGGCCGCCACUCCUGAAUGCUUGGCGACUAUCAUCAGCACCAUAAUUUCUGCCGCCUCGACUUGCUCCACGGCCACGGCCAAAAUUCCCUCGGCCACGUGGGUUGUAAUUACCCCCACGGCCUCGCGAUGCAGCAUUUGCAGACGAGCUGUACUGACCACCAGAAUUAUUACGCAACAUCUCCAGCCUUGUUUCAUACGCCAUCACCUGAGCAUACAACUCGCUCGAGGGAAUUGGAUCAGUACGGCCCAUGACAGAAGUAACAAUGGGAUUAUACUCACUAUCCAAACCAGCAAGGAUGAAGGAUAUCAUCUCGUCAUCUUCGACUUUUCUACCAGCACCGGCGAGCUCGUCGGCGAUCGCUUUCAUCUUGUUGAAGUAAACUGAAGUCGUCAUACUUCCCUUCUUGAGAGUUGACAACUGCAUUCGUAGAUGCGUUACUCUUGCUCUGGAUUGGGCGGAGAACAUGUUCUCCAGUGCCGCCCAAACUUUUGCAGAUGAGGAGAGAGUUGCUACCUGUCCAAGCACAUCUUUUGUGACUGAAUUGAACAGAAAAGCAAGGAUCUGCUGGUCUUGCGCCAGCCACGAGGAGUACGCCGGAUUGCUAACAAUUUCCUUGGACUUGUCUUCCUUGACGAUCUCCAGAAACUCAGAUGGGGCUUUGACGGAUCCCUCCAGAAUUCCGAUCAGCUGCGCCCCCCUGAUAGGUGGGAGAACUUGCGCCUUCCACAAGACGUAAUUAUCUCUAGUAAGCUUCUCGGUGACUUGGGGGCCAAGUGGCGCCAAUGCUGUCGCCGAGGAGGAGGAUGUCGCCAUGACAGUCGACGCUUCUUAGAUGAAGAUGGCUCUGAUUACCAUGAAAAAUAUGUAGAACAAUUUGGUAAACGUGGUUAGCAAACUCGCAUCCCACGAUUCCGUGUUUAUAUAGUGCUGGAGGCUGUCACAAAAUACAUGAGAUAGAUUACAGCUUGUCUUUUGAGCAUACGGUUAAACCAUCCUAACUCUACCAAGGACGUUACAAUAUUCUAGGACUCUAUCUCUCGGAGCUGGAUAGACUCGUGCACCUUAUCCUUGCCUUGCGUCAUACCUCAACCAGGUUGCCGUGCGUUACGCUUGAGUAGUCCUGUACCAACACGUUUUGCUUAACAGUCUCAGCCGAUGGUAUAAAGAACUAAUGAUUAAUUUCAAUCGGCCGGGUACUUCCGUCAUCGGCUAUAUAAAAAAAGAAUUAUGCAUGCCAAUCGGCUGGGAACUUCCGUCAUCGGUUGAGAUGCUAUUGAGAGCACUAGCUCGCACUACAGGCUUUACCCAAAUUGAUUAUUAUUUGGAGCUGAGCUGAUAGGGGGUAAAAACCAUACAUCAGCAUCGGCCGGUUGGUGGUGCAUCGGUCGAUAGACAGUUACAGGAUAAUACUUGGUGUCCGAUGAUGGGACUAGUUUAUUCAGCCAAUAGGGUAGUCGAUGGCUUGCGACCAAAUCGGCUGGGUCAUGUUAUUUAAUUAAAGGAUAUGGAUGUAUCAGUAAAUGCUAAUCGCUUCCAGCUUAUAAAGAGCUGAUGGAGGUGACUUCCUCUCAACAAAGCAAAAUAAGAUGUCAAGCUUACAUGAAGCCGAUGGAAUAGUCAAAGAUCCUAGCAUGAUGAAUGAUUAGGCAGUGAAGAUGAAGUUUUUGCAAGGUACAUACCUCUUCAAGGCUCAAAAUAAUCCUUCGUUGCCUGGACUAUCGACGUGUAGACUAGUGGCCAAAGUAUUCUCAGGACAGCCCAUGGAGUGAAUCGGCUUCCAAAAAAAUAAAUAAAAAAAAGCUGACUUGAAUAGCCGAUGGAGAAGUCUCGCCUGACAGAAAAAAGUAAUUUACAUGCUGAUUACAUGAAAUAGUAAUUUACAUGCUGACGGAAAUAGUAAUUUACAUGCUGAUUACGUGAUGGCUCUAGAAAAAAGUAUCGGCUGAUACGCUGACUACAAAGAGUAUCGGCUGAAAAAUGCAUCGGCCGAUCGCCUGACAGCUGACGGAAAUAGUAAUUUACAUGCUGAUUACGUGAUGGCUCUAGAAAAAAGUAUCGGCUGAUACGCUGACUACAAAGAGUAUCGGCUGAAAAAUGCAUCGGCCGAUUGACUGCUUGGCAAAAAGCAUCGGCUGAUUGCUUCGGGCCGAUUGACUGCUUGGCAAAAAGCAUCGGCUGAUUGCUUCGGCCGAUUGAUUGCUUGGCGAUAAGCAUCGGCUGAUUGCUUGGCCAAUAAAAAAAAUUUGGCUGAUUGGAUCAAGCAAAAUAGUAUCGACUGCUUAUUAAAUAUAUCGGAUGUUAAUUUCGAAGCAUGAAAUAUUCAUACUUCGAAACUGGGGGGCCUGUGUUGACAACAAAAGCUUGCUGGUUACUGCAUCAAGUUUUGGUGUCAACAGACUGAUCUAUUGUUUCUACUGCCGACGAAUUUAUCGGCUCAGAGUGGGAUCAAGGCAUCAAGACGAUGGGGUUCUUUAUAUUUCAAGAGGAGUCGAUGUGGCUUUAGAUAUUGUAAUCAGACAUCAUUGGUUCUAAAGAAAACCAUCAGACUUCUAUAAUUAGUUUCGGAACAUGAAGCCUUCAUACUCCGAAACUGGGGGGCCUGUGUUGACACCAAAUUAUCGGACUUCUAUAGUUAGUUUCGGAACAUGAAACCUUCAUACUGCGAAACUAGGGGACUGUGUUAACACCAAAAUUUUGAAAUAUGCUGUGAAAGGAAGGAAUCGGCCGAUGAUGCAAAAAAUGAUGAAAUCUCCUAACUAAGGCUAUUUGCAAGCUGGCCGUAGAGAUCAGGAACAUGUGCAUGAAAAAAGAGAAAGCAAAAAAGCUAGAAGAUUAAAAGAAGUCAACGCACACAUGUACACGGCAAGAGUUCCAAUAGUCUGGCGUCCAAGGGAAGUGCACGUACGGGAGGUUGUUUUAUAGAAUAAAAUAUUUUGGAGAUAGAGUUGGUUAGGGAUAAGCUUGAUUAGAGAUAGAGUUGGGUUAGUUAGAGAUAGAGUUUUGCUUAGAAAAUAUUAUGUACGUGACUUGCCUUGUACGUGAUUAAAAUGCCAAUUGUGUAACGUCAAAGGCCAUCCGCCCUAUAAAUAUAAAGGGUCCUGGCCAUUGUAAUGAUCAUCACACGAUCAAUAUACAACACAUUUAUCUUUUAUUUACCUUUUUGGCUUCACGCCAUUGCAUUAGGAGUAGGAGUAAUGUAGCUUCUCGACGAGUUCCUUCUAGCAAGCUGGGCUGCAUCGACCUCGAUCUCCGACGAGCUGCAAGUUCCGUCAUCAGGUGUUCUAGGCUUUAACCACCGGGCGUAUCGCUGUGGUUUCGUCUAGUUUCAUCUAUCAGUUAUCGAGUAUCUUGGAUCUUUGACUUACGGCGCGCACCAAGUUUUGGUGUCAACACUAGUUUUUGUGCUCUUCAAGUACUUUAGCAUGUUUGAGUCUUCAAUUGUACCCGAGCACUGCCAUGCGGGUAGAAUGUGCUCAAGUCUCAUUUAACUUAGAUCUUGAAUCUUCAUCUCUUAAAUUUUUAUAUGGAAGUGCGACGAAAGUCUCCCUCCAUAUGGAGUAGCCCCCGAGCCUUAGGUUGAAUUGAAGAAUCAGACUGAGGGUCAAUCUGUAAUUUGCAUCUCUUUUUCCCUAAAAAACCUAGAGAAAAAACUUUUUAGCUGAUGGGCACGUGGCACACAACCCCCAAGCCAUCACACGACUAGUGUUGUGGGUAUAAGGGUCAACCUUCGAUCAACGUAACCAUCAAUCAAUAGUAACCUUAUCUCUUUCAAAAAUAGUGGUACCUACCAAUCAGAUGCGAAAUCCUCGGGUCAAUUAAAACCUGAAUAUUCCUUAAUUCCCGUUGUUUUUUACUGCGCUGCGGAUAUAAAUAACAGAGGAAAAUACCUCUUUCGUUUUACCUUUGUCAUCUGCUCUUUCAACUUGCACACUGUAGCCCUUGUUGAUGUUUAAACCCAGCAACCUACCAAGGGGAGUACCCAAGGUAGAGUUUUAGUCAGUGGGUGUCGCCGAAAUUAGGAACUUGAUGGUGUACGUAGGCACGUGAUUUAGAUAGGUUCGGGCUGCUGGAUCGCGUAAUACCCUACGUCCUGUGUGUUGUUUGCUUGUAUUCAAUUGAACUUGUUUGGAGGGGGUACCUGCCCGUCCUUAUAUAUUGGAGGAGCAGGGUUAUAGGCCGGUUGUUUUACAAGAGUACUAGUCGGAUUCGACUAGAGAGCCCUACCCUAACUGCUAUGAGUAGUAUUGGAGUCCUCGACUAGUUCCUUUCCUCCAUGUAGAGUACGCCAUCCUACACUGUAGUCCCCGUAUCUAACAUAUUUCGGUGUACAGCCCUGUAUACGGAUCUGUCCAAGCCUUCUGGUGGGCCCAUAGAUGUAUGUACGACAAGCCCUCAAGUACGUUUUAGUCAAAUGCAACAGUCUCGAGUACCUUCACACGCUUCAUCCAACUAGUUUUUGGUGCUCUUCUGAGUACUUUGUCGAAGUUGAGCCUUCAAGUAAGUCGAGUACUGCCAUGCAGCUAGAAUGUGCUCAAGCCUCAUUUAACGUUGUCUUGAAAAUCUGUCCUUGAAUUUAUAUAUGGAAGUGCGAUGAAAAUCGCACUCCAUAUGGAGUAGCCCCUGAGCCUUAGGUUGAAUCGAAGAAUCAGGCUGAGGCUCAAUCUGCAUUUGCAUUGUCUUCACCUUAAAACUCCAGAGAAAAAACCUUUUAGCCAACGGGCACGUGUCACACAGCCCCUGAGCCGUUAACUGACUUGUUUCAGGAGGUAUAAGGGUCAACCAUUGGUCAUCGUGACCGUUCGCCAACAGUAUCCUUAUCUGUUGUGGUAAUUUUGGUAACUGAUGGCCAAAUGCGAAAUUAACGGCCAGAGGUGAAAACAUCAGGGCCAUUACCUCCAUUUACUUCGCUUCUGUUAUAAAUAGAUGAGGGAAGUUACCCCCAUUUACUCCGCCAUUGCCAUCUGCUAUUUGCGCUGAAAAAACCCUACUGCCCAGCACCGCCGCAAUCCAAUCUGAGAGUGCCAACAUUGCCUCCCUCCUGUGAGCCCCCGAGCAUAUGCACGAGAAGAGGCUUGUGACAUCCAAGAUGGGAAGAAAAGCAUCUACUUCUAGGGGCGCUGAAAGUUCCAAGAAGAAAUCUGGGAAAGGGAAAGAGCCGCAGCUGCCUCUACCCAAAUUCGGGAAGACGAACCAGACAGCGCUGCCAACUCCUGCCUGUGCCUGGAAGAGGUCAACCAUGAAGCAGGAAGAGAUCCAGGCAUUGGAGAUGGCGAUGCUGUUGCAGGAUCAAGCAACCAUAGGCGGAAGGUGUGCUUGCGGUAAUCCGUGGCCGCUAGAAGAGUACCCCGAGGAGACGGUAACCUUCACCCACUUUGUCGAGCAGGGUUUUGCUUUCCCAUCUUCUGAUUUUCUUCGGGGUCUUUUGAAUUUUUACAAACUUGAGUUGGUCCACCUCUAUCCCAACGGUAUUCUCCACAUUGCUAUUUUCAAGCACCUGUGCGAGGCUUUCUUGGGGAUCCAUCCCCACUUUCAACUGGAGUAUGAGUUGUUGGAGCCGCACUCUGGGUGGAAGGAGAAGUGGUUCUACAUUGGAGACCAUGAUUCGAUGCUGCCAAAGGUGACUGGUCACCGCCUAGAGUGGAACAACAGAUGGAUAGACGAGCUGACGCAUGGGAAUAGUCUUCAAGUACCCGAGCUCUUAGGCAAGACCGCCCAAUUGAAGAAUUAAGGAUUGACAGGAGUUGAAGUAGCCUUCAGCUUUAUGAAGAGGCGAGUUCAACGCCUGCAGCUCCGCCACACCUGGGGCUACGGGUUGUGGCGGAACCGCCCAACUUAAGCUGAUUUAAGUGCGCCUAAUCGCCGUGGGAACGGCAAUUAUCCGAAACGUACUUAAAACAGCGUAAGUCCGGUAGUCCGUCGAGUGUCCCUGGGACUCCUCGAAGAAUCCACGGUGUGUCUCAUCACCAUACAUCAGGAUAAUACCCGCGAUGGGAUAAUAUCAACAAACAUUACAUUUUUACAUACGUAAUUAAGAGGUACGAGUUAUUACAAGACUUAAGUUGAGACAAACUUAGUGAUGCAGAGUUAGACAGGCUCUAAGAUUAAACAUAAACAGUUCAGGAGAAAAUGCGUCGAUAAACAGUUUUUCUAGAGUAUUGAGAGACUCAAGUCAACACUCUAGAUCUUCGGGGUCUCCUCCUCGGUAGCUUCCGGUGGAGCUUCUGAAAGAUAACCACAAGGGGAAAACCCUGAGUACGAGGUACUCAGCAAGUCUUACCCGACUAACCAAUAUAAUAGUUUUUUCUUUGGAAUGCAUGCCAGCCUUUGGGUGUGCUUGGUUGACACCAUUUUGCCGAAAAAGCUUACUACGAGUGAGGCCUUAGUUUUAUCUUUUAUUUUAGUUAAGUCAUUACCUAACCAUUCUAGGUGAUAACAUGAGUAAAACAAUCAUAGCUGUUAAAUCACACAGUACUUGGCAACAGAAGAUUUUAUAUCGCAUGAGUUCAUACUACGAAGCUUAACAGCGAUCAAGUGCAUUCAUAACCGAGAAUUGCGGCGAUCCGGAUCUAAUUACAUCCUGCAGGAGAGUACCCUGAUCACCAGCAUUAUACGACUGUCCAGGUCGUACUAGCAACCUCUCGAUUAGUAAAGUCAAUGAUUAGGAAUACAACUACCCGGACCCAGGGAUGCACCCCCACAUGGGACCCCACGUCUGGCCUGAUCUCCAUGUGAGUUUCAGGCUACACCCCUGCCAAUCUCCAGCACGUCAAAUGCGGGUACGAAGCAUUCCUGAUCAUAGAAUUUACUAAUUUACUGGGCUUUACUGGUCCCAUACCCAGUAAGUGAUCAGAUGUUAUCACUUGACCAGCGGUUAAGACACGAAUCGGGCCUUAACCAGAUUAAUCUAGCAGACAGAACUACAUCUCUAGCUUCUGUCCGUAUUCAUAUUCCCAACUAUCCUUCAUAAGCAACAUGUAUGACUUAAGAGUUUUCCUUAAGGUUGGUAAACCAAUCAUGUAAGCAUAUAAGCAUUUCUAGACUUGGGUAGUUUCUAAGAUUUGAACAAGUGGCAAAGAUGUCCUUAAUUCAAGGCAUGAUCAUACACAAGAAUAGGUUUCAUUCAACUCCUAGACUUAGUGCAUACAAUAAACAAAUAACCUAUAACUAGUCACAUGAAAUAACGACUCUAAAAUAGAUAGGUAUAAAUGCACCGGGGCUUGCCUUGAUCGUUAAAAAGAUUAGUAGAAGCUGACGGGUUUGCUUCACAGGGAACAAAUUCAAACACUUCGUCGGACUCCAAGGGUCCUUUUGAAAAUUCCCAGUAAUCCUCUUCUGAUGCUUCUGGAUCUACGGCACAAUAUAUGCAGGGGUUAGAAUGCAAACUUUUUAAAUAACAGACUAUACAACUUUCCUUCAUGAUAAAGUUGCAAGCCAACAAGGACUAUACGACUUAUCAUGAUAAAGUUGUAAGCCAACACACAAAAAUCUAAAAAGAUUAACCUAUACUUUUAUUUUUCUUAUUUAACCCUUCCUAUAGCUUUUAAUUUUUGAUAAAGGUGGUAAAUAAUUUCUAACUUGAAAAUCUAAUUCCUAUGGGUAAAGAGUUAUUUGUGAUUGAUAAAGUAUUAUUCAUGUUUUUAUACAUUUUAUAAAUAUUAAGUAUUGAUUUAAUUACCUUAAAAGGAAGGCAUUAAAUAAAUACCCAAAUUUUUAUUAUUUUCCUAGGGUGUAAAAUUUUUAAUGCAUAAAGGAAAAUAAAACAAGCCUAACAAAAUUGGUUUCACUAAUUUUGGACACUCCUACAAAUUUCUGUGAUUAAAAUGGUGUAAAACAAAUUUAAACGGAUUAUUUUGCUAAAGAAAUCUAACUUUUCCCGAAAUUCCCCCGGAAAAACUUUUCUUAGUCACCCACGCUCUACCCUCUCUCACGAAUCACUGGGCCCCACGGCGCGGACCCCACCUUCCUAUUCCUUUCUACCCGCCGGCCCUAUUCUUCCCCUAACGGGCUUCGUGGGCCGAUUUCUCCUUUCUUCUUCACUUCGCAACCCAAAAGCGGCCCACUAGCCCGCUCUUUCUUUUUCUUCUUUUCCCGCGGGGCCGGCCUGUUACUGCUCUGGGCCUCCGGCCUCCUCUUCUUUUUCCCGGCCGACUCGCGCGCUAACUCCCGGGCCUCCGCGACGCGCCGACCCUUUUCUUUUACGGUCGCUCGCGCGCGCGCGUCACUGGGCCUCAUGACCGCGGCCCAGCAACCGGCCGCACCGCUUCGGCCUCCUUCUCCUCCCCCUUCUCUCUGUCGCACGGGCCCGAGCGCCUGGCUCCUUCUUCUUCCUCCCGCCAAAAGCGUCCGCGACAGGAGGCGGCGCGGCUCGCCGGCCGGCGCCCUCCCGGCGGCGGGACCAGGCGACAACACCAACCUGAGACCUACACGACCUCGUGCGCGGCAACAGCUUCCCCGGAGAUGGCCGGAGCCAUCCCCUCCACGGCGACGGGCGGCAACACCCACGGCCGGUGGUGACUACUCACGACAACGGCAUAACCUACUCAAACGUCUACCCCGACACCAUCCUAGGAUCCUAAGGACUCGACUACGACUACUCAAGAAGGAAGAGAGACAGCGCAAGGUGGUUCUCACCGUGAGCGGGCGGCGCGACGGCGGCGGACAGAAACAACGGCGAGCACGGUUACUUUGGCAUGGAUGUUAGAAUGCAAACUUUUUAAAUAACAGUCAUGAAGGAAAGUUGUAUAGUCUGUUAUUUAAAAAGUUUGCAUUCUAACCCCUGCAUAUAUUGUGCCGUAGAUCCAGAAGCAUCAGAAGAGGAUUACUAGGAAUUUUCAGAAGGACCCUUGGAGUCCGACGAAGUGUUUGAAUUUGUUCCCUGUGAAGCAAACCCGUCAGCUUCUACUAAUCUUUUUAACGAUCAAGGCAAGCCCCGGUGCAUUUAUACCUAUCUAUUUUAGAGUCGUUAUUUCAUGUGACUAGUUAUAGGUUAUUUGUUUAUUGUAUGCACUAAGUCUAGGAGUUGAAUGAAACCUAUUCUUGUGUAUGAUCAUGCCUUGAAUUAAGGACAUCUUUGCCACUUGUUCAAAUCUUAGAAACUACCCAAGUCUAGAAAUGCUUAUAUGCUUACAUGAUUGGUUUACCAACCUUAAGGAAAACUCUUAAGUCAUACAUGUUGCUUAUGAAGGAUAGUUGGGAAUAUGAAUACGGACAGAAGCUAGAGAUGUAGUUCUGUCUGCUAGAUUAAUCUGGUUAAGGCCCGAUUCGUGUCUUAACCGCUGGUCAAGUGAUAACAUCUGAUCACUUACUGGGUAUGGGACCAGUAAAGCCCAGUAAAUUAGUAAAUUCUAUGAUCAGGAAUGCUUCGUACCUGCAUUUGACGUGCUGGAGAUUGGCAGGGGUGUAGCCUGAAACUCACAUGGAGAUCAGGCCAGACGUGGGGUCCCAUGUGGGGGUGCAUCCCUGGGUCCGGGUAGUUGUAUUCCUAAUCAUUGACUUUACUAAUCGAGAGGUUGCUAGUACGACCUGGACAGUCGUAUAAUGCUGGUGAUCAGGGUACUCUCCUGCAGGAUGUAAUUAGAUCCGGAUCGCCGCAAUUCUCGGUUAUGAAUGCACUUGAUCGCUGUUAAGCUUCGUAGUAUGAACUCAUGCGAUAUAAAAUCUUCUGUUGCCAAGUACUGUAUGAUUUAACAGCUAUGAUUGUUUUACUCAUGUUAUCACCUAGAAUGGUUAGGUAAUGACUUAACUAAAAUAAAAGAUAAAACUAAGGCCUCACUCGUAGUAAGCUUUUUCGGCAAAAUGGUGUCAACCAAGCACACCCAAAGGCUGGCAUGCAUUCCAAAGAAAAAACUAUUAUAUUGGUUAGUCGGGUAAGACUUGCUGAGUACCUCGUACUCAGGGUUUUCCCCUUGUGGUUAUCUUUCAGAAGCUCCACCGGAAGCUACCGAGGAGGAGACCCCGAAGAUCUAGAGUGUUGACUUGAGUCUCUCAAUACUCUAGAAAAACUGUUUAUCGACGCAUUUUCUCCUGAACUGUUUAUGUUUAAUCUUAGAGCCUGUCUAACUCUGCAUCACUAAGUUUGUCUCAACUUAAGUCUUGUAAUAACUCGUACCUCUUAAUUACGUAUGUAAAAAUGUAAUGUUUGUUGAUAUUAUCCCAUCGCGGGUAUUAUCCUGAUGUAUGGUGAUGAGACACACCGUGGAUUCUUCGAGGAGUCCCAGGGACACUCGACGGACUACCGGACUUACGCUGUUUUAAGUACGUUUCGGAUAAUUGCCGUUCCCACGGCGAUUAGGCGCACUUAAAUCAGCUUAAGUUGGGCGGUUCCGCCACACGGGUACUCCUCAACGACUCGUCUAGUAUGACGCCUGAGGAAAUCUCUAUUGACGGGGUAAUGGCGAGGUGAGGCGCAUGUUCAAAAAUGCUAGUGAGAUCCCCCGAGUAGUCCCGGAAUACUGCACUGCCAACCCACCAAGAGCAGUGAGUACCCGUGAUCUUAGCCCCCAAGUACUUAUUUGAAGUCGUGUUGUUUCCUAACUUGUCUGUCUUUAUGCAGGAAGAUAUACUUGUGUUCUAUUUACCCCGUCCUCCUCCUAACUCCGACGACAUUGAGAGCGCCUCGCGUGUUUUUGGAUGACAGCUUGUUGUACUGGGGGCCACGGAGGAGGAGGAAGAAGAAGAAGAAGAAUCUGAGUCCCUCAGUAGCUCAGACUCCGAUGCUGCUAGGGCAUAUUGUGUGAAGGUUCGCACCUCAGACAAAGCUGGGGCAUCCUUUGGCUCAUUGAAGUGCCCUGCGGAUAAUGAGCUUGAGACCGCUCUGGCCCCACCACCAAAGAAUAAGCGGAUGGUCACUAGGACGCAUGCUCCGAGUACUCUGCGCAUCAUCGAGCUUGUGCCCCCAUCGGUAAUAACCUUCGAGGAAGGGCAAGACCCUGAGGUGCGGGUACAAUUAUAUAUGUUUACUGAUGCCACGAUUACUCGUCAAGACUUUUGGUCUUUGUAGGGUGUCGCGUAGGUGGUUUAGGUGACACAGACGACUACUGGCGCCGUCCCGCCUGAAAUUCUAGCAUCCGGGGAGCUCGCUGCGGUUGAAGGUGAUCUAGAGCCCCCUGCUGCUGAAGUACAUCCUGCGUGUACUAAAGUAUCCGCAACAAGCCUUGCCAAGGGAGCCUUCCCCCACUGUCAGGCCUCUGUGCUUGGUGGGGGAGCCGCUGCUGAAAUUGCGACGAUCCAUGAGGUAAGUAAUUCGAUAUUGUCGAGUACCAAUUUUGUCUUGUGUAGUUGGUUGUCCUCUAUCACUGAUACUUUGUGUUGUGUAGGACGUCCUCUAGCGUGAGCAUUGGUUCGGUUCAAGGCCAACAACUGAUGGCGCUAGCCACUCGGCGGAGGGCAUAGCCCCCAAGCCUGCUGUUCCACCGGCGGAGGGAGAUCUGGCUCCGGCGGCAGAGACAGGUGCCAUAUCACUCGUUGCUGCGCUGAUGCAUGACGUACUCGACUCAAUGGCUAAUGUUGCAGUGCCAGCCCUCGAGCCUUGUGUACCCGGGGCCCUUCCCAUGGCGAUUCCCGUGGAGAUUCCAUAUCCACUUGUGGCCAUGGAAGCUAUGACCAUCAACGUUGCUGUUGAUGAAGCCCCCAAUCUUGAAGCCGCCGAAGCCCUUGAAGCCAUGGCCACCGCUGUCGGGAUGUCUUCUGAGGCUGGCACAUCGUCCGGCCUCGAGAUAGUCCUAAAGCCCAGUGAGAGGAUCAAGUCGAGCGUUGAAACUCGGGUAAUUCCUGAGGAGGCCCAAUUGAUUGACGAUCCUUAGCUGGAUGCACAGAUAGUGGCCACCAUAAUCCAGAUGAACCAGCGUGUCGUAUCCUACACCGAGGUAAGUUUGAACUUAGCCUUGUACUGCACUUCUAGAUUCCUGCGACUUGUACUCUGUGCAGCACCUAAGUACUGAUGUCUGUAUAAUAGGACUCGAUCAACUGCUCCCGCCGGAAGUCCGAGUUGCUGCGGGAUUAUGGCGAGACCGUGUAGCACGGUGAGGUGUUGGAGAAGGAGCUGGCUGAGGAGUGACAACGAACUUCCUGACUUUUCAUGAAGCUCGAAAGCAUGGCGGUGACCUUUCGGGUGCAGAUUUAGGACUUGGAAAAGGAGAAGGAGCGCCUUACUGUCCGAAACAAGUCACUAAAUUAGAAGCUUGAAGGUGAGUACUCCUCUUUUUGGUGUGUGCGUCUACUGGUAGCCAAUAGUCUUGUGACUGAUAUUGCAUCUUUCUUUUGCAGAAUAUAAGAAUUAGGGACCUCAAUUGAAGGCCUCCAUAAUAGACUGGAAGAACGGCUACUAUCGGGUCACUGAUCAACAUGACAGGUUUGGGCAGCAGGUGUCCAAGCUGGAGUGCGACUUGGAGAACGAAACCAAGAUGUGCCGGGAUGGCGAGGCCAAUCUGAUCAAUGCCACGACGACUAUCCAAGCGCAAUAGGCCGAGAUUGGGGCCUGUAAGCUGGAGCUGCAAGAGUUGUCUGCGGUGGCCCGACCCCUGGCUGACAUGGUGGAGCCUCCAAUUGAUUGCGCGGAUCCUCACCCGCUGGUAGAGAGACUUCGAGAUGUGCCGGGGAAGAUAGCCAGUUACAUCCAAGGGAUGGCAAAAUCCAUCUCGAAGCAGCUGCUGGCUUUCGUGAAGUCUUUCUACCCUAACGUCGACUUGUCCCCUAUCGCAGAAGGGAUCACGGGGGAUUGCUCGGACGAAGUCUUCCAGCAGCAUUUGGAGGAGGUGGAUCCCAUCGCCGAGGAAGUCGCCAAGCAUCUAGACCUGUAGUAGUCUGUUGUCUUUUGUAGAUAAGAAAAAACAUUAAUUCUGCAAUGGUGCAAUGUAUAAAUACUUUAAGUCUUAAUGCAAAUUCAUUGCUGGUGACUUGUUUAUCUUUUUGGUUUAGUGCUUCUCACACUUGGGCAUGAUCUUGCUCGUACAACUGAGGUGAGUGUUUGCGUACAAGGCUACUAUUGUGAGCCUCUUCGGAAGCGAGUUGUUGAGUACUCAGGUACCCAAGCUUUCUGGUAGUAGAAAUCAAGUAGUCUCUUCAGGAUUCCGCUGACUAGGGCCUAUCUCCUCGACUUCUUUGAGUAGGGUCGACACUGUGCCCUGGGAACCUAGUAAAUAGUGGCCAGUAACCUAUUUACAAUGCUGCGUAGUCUUUGGACUAUGGAUAGAAUCGACAAAGAUGCUUGAUGUUCCACGAGUUGUUGAUAUCUUCGCUAGAGAGGUGUUGUAGCCUGUACGAUCCUAGGCCUGUGACCUUGGAUACGAUGUGCGGUCCUUCCCAUGGUGAAUUAAGCUUGUGUAGCCCCUUGGUGUCUUGGAUACGCUUGAGGACCAUGUCGCCUAUGUUGAAAGAAUGCUCUUUGAUGUUGCGAUCAUGAUAGCGGCGAAGACCCUUGAGGUACCUUGCAGACUGAAUGAGUGCUGCACAGCGGGCUUCUUCUAGGCUGUCAAGGUCUAGACGCCUUGUCUCCUCUACCGCUCCUUCAUCUUAUUGCUCGACUGUUGGAUAUUUCCACAUCAUGUCAUCAGGAAAGAUGGCUUCUUAUCCAUAGAUCAGGAAAUAGUGCGAUUGCCCCAUGGGUUUGCACCGUUGAGUACGUAGCCCCCAGAGAACAUUUGGUAGUUCCUUAAGCCACUUGCCUCCUUUAGUGUUGCCAAUGUCAUGCAAUCUUUUCUUCAAGGCUUCCAGUAGCAUCCCGUUGGCGCGCUCAAUCUGGCCAUUGGCCCGCGGGUGAGCGACGGAGAUAUACCAAACGUCGAUUCCGCUAUUUUCUCAGUAUUCCUAGAACUCGUGAUUGUUAAAAUUGGAACCAAGGUCUGUGAUUAUCCGAUUGGGGAAUUCAUAACGGUGGACGAUAUCAUCGAGGAAAUCAAGUACUCUGUUUACCUUGAGGCAAGUUAGUGGCUUGACCUCGAUCCACUUGGUAAACUUGUCGAUGGCUACUAGUACUCGGUUGAAUCCUCCGGGCGCUGUAGGAAGGGGACCAAUCAUGUCGAGCCCCCAGCAUGCGAAGGGCCAUGUUGGCAGUAUGGUGAUAAGGUUGUAGGCAGGGACAUGUUACUGCUUGGCGAAGAAUUGACAACCUUGGCACCGGCGGACUAGUUCUUCAGCGUCCGCUAGGGCGGUGGGCCAGUAGAACGCUGCUCUGAAAGCCUAGCCCACGAUUGUGCGUGAGGUUGCGUGGUUGCCGCAGAUGCCCUUGUGUAUCUCCUCCAAUAUCUCCUUGCCGUCUUGUCGUGUGACAUAUUUCAUGAGUACUCCUAAAGACGCGCCUCUUCUGUAGAGCUUUCCCCCGAAUAGGAUGUAAUUCUUACUUCAUCGUAGGAUCUGCUCUGCUUGUGUCUUGUCCGAGAGUAGUUUUUGUUCCCUUAUGUAGUCAAUGAAUAGGAUUCUCUAAUCAACAUCAAUCAUCAUCACCUCCCAUCUGGUGCCUCAGGACCAUGAUCGGUGCUUGUAGAAGGUGCCGGCUCCGUAUGGAUGGCUUGCGUAGUUCAUGGAUAAAGAUUCCUGCUAGGACUUGGGCGCGAGUUGAGCCAAGUUUGGACAAGACAUCCGCGGCGACAUUGUUAUCGUGAACUACUUGGUGAAACUCUAGGCUCGAAAAUUUAUUUUUGAGCUUGCGUACUUCCAUAUAGUAUGCGUCCAUGUUCUCCUUAUUGCGAUCCCACUCAUCAUUGACUUGGUUAAUCACAGCCAGUGAGUCGCCGUAGACCAACAAUGUUUUGAUUCCUAGCGAUACCUCCAGGCGAAGCCCGUGCAGUAGCGCUUCAUAUUCAGCUUCGUUGUUGGAUGCCUCCCAGAAGAUCUACAGGACGUAUUUGAGUUGCUCGCCUUUGGGAUAUAUCAACAGUACCCCUGCACCGGUGCCCUCGAGCUUGAGAGACCCAUCGAAGUACAUGACCCAAUGCUCUUGGUGCUCUGCCGGUGUUGGUAGUUGAUUUUCCUACCAUUCUGCCAUGAAAUCGACUAGAGCCUGGGACUUGAUCCUGGUUCUUGACUUGAAAUCCAAGGACAAUGCUCUAAGUUCCACUACCUACUUUGAAAUCCUGCCUGUGGUGUCCCGAUUGUGGAGAAUCUUGCUCAGGGGGAAGUCAGUGACGACGGAGAUCUUGUGUUCCUGGAAGUAGUGCUGCAACUUCCGCGAAGUGAGUAGUAUGGUGUAUAGCAAUUUCUGGACCGGUGGGUACCUUGUCUUGGAAUCUGAGAGUACUUCGCUGAUGAAAUAGACGGGCCUCUGUACUUUGUAUACAUGGCCGGGCUCUGAUCUUUCGACUACUAUUGCCAUGCUUACAACGUUAGUAGUUGCAGCGAUGUAAAGCAGCAAGUCUUUAUUGGAGCUAGGCGCCGUGAGGAUUGGUGGCUUUGAUAAGAAAUCCUUCAACUGUUGCAAGGCUUGGUCUGCCUCCUUGGUCCACUGGAACUUAUCUUGCCGCUUGUGUAGUUUGAAGAAGGUAAGGAUCUGUUCUCCAAGUCUUGAUAUGAAUUUGUUAAGGGCCGCCAUACACCCAGUCAACUUCUGAACAUCUUUGAUGCCAGACGGAGCUUGCAUAUUGAUGAUGGCGGAUAUUUUCUCGGGAUUUGCUUCAAUGCCCUUAUAUAUCGGGAGAGCAGGAUUACAGGUACAGGAAUACUAGUCGGAUUCAACUAGAGAGUCCUACUCUAACUGUUACGAGUAGUUUUCCGAGUUCUCGACUAGUUUCUGUCUUCCACGUAGACUACGCUGUCCUGCACCGUAGUCUUUAUAUCUGCCACGUCUCGGUGCGCAGUCCUGUAUACGGAUCUAUCCAAACCCCCUGUACAUCGUGGCAGGCGCGCGAUCAGGAACAGCUCGACGGUCUGUCACUGUCCUUAAGAUAGAAUGCAUUGCAAAAUUCUUCCUCCAAACAAUUGGCUGGGAUCUCGGAGUAAUGGUAUCCUUUUGUUAAAGGUCUAAUUUUGGUGAGCUCAUGGCCCGUAAUUGUUGUUAUCGCUUCCUGCAAUCAGUACCAGCUCUUUUCUAAAACCGCUUGCAAUGUCUGCAGUUAACUAAGGUGUAGCACCAGAUACUAUAUUUCCAAUCAAAAUUUUUGGAAGAGCUCACUUGUUCAGUUGUUUGGUCAGCAUACGUGCGACGAUACAACAAGGUUUGUAGUUGGGGGUUGAAUUUCAUACCACCGCAAGAGAUGGGGGUGUAAUAUGAACUUCUUCAUUUUUUGAACUGCACUAAUAUUUAUUUAUUUAUUGCAAAUAGCUCUAUUACUAUUUGUUUAUAUUGGAACUAUAUUUAAUUUAAACAAAACUUAUAUAUUUUCUGGAUGCAAUUUUGGGGUAAUGGUGCGUAGUAAAUUAGGUAUUGGGAAAAUUACAAAAGCACGCCUGCAAAAGCUAGGGGAGUUUUGAGCAUUCACCAUCUUUAUUAUUAGUAAAGAUAUUUAAACUUAGCUGCAGAUUUUAAAAUUGGAUGCCAAGAAGAAAAUUCGAUGUCCUGGCCCCCUAAAACAUCUGCGUGUUAGAUAAGACUCCUUGAAAAACGUUAGAAAACAUUUGUCAAUGAAAUAUGUUGUGACCCCGCGCUACGAGAUAAAGCGAUCCUUUUCAAAUAUAAGUGAAGCGUUAUGCAUCAGAUGAGCUGCAUUUCUGGAUCAGUCGUCAUUCAGGAAGAAUACCAGGGGAUGACGUACUAGUGGCGUCAUCUCUAGCUCAUGAUGAUGGGCACCAGUGUCAGCAUACACGUACCUGCAUAAAAAAAAGGGAAAUAGCAUGGCUGCUAUUGUUUUUGGAGAAUGACAUGGCUGCUAUCGCUGGUUACACGACAGAGAUCAAGAGAUGACGUCGGCGACGGCGUGGGAGGAUCAAAAGGUGGACCAGUCAAAAGGAGGCGGCUGGUAAAUGCCAGGCUGCCAACACGCCCGGAGCAAACCCUCCGACAGGUAUAAAUACUCCUCCACCCCGGCCGGUUGGAGAGCACCACACCACAAGCAGAGAACAAGCAAGAGCUUACUCGCAAGCAAGAAACAGAGCCAAGCAAAGCCACCUAGUGAUCGCUGAUUUCCUUCAUCGGCAGCGCAUCGGCGAUCUCGAUCUAGCAGACAACAUGGUUCAUCAAGAGGUGAUGCCGCUCCUGACGCCAUUCAAGAUGGGGCGGUUCGAGCUCUCCCACCGGGUGGUGCUCGCGCCGCUGACCCGGUGCCGCUCCUACGGUAACGUGCCGCAGCCGCACGCCGCGGUGUACUACUCCCAGCGCGCCACCAGGGGUGGCCUCCUCAUCACGGAGGCUACAGGUGUGUCUGCCACUGCGCAGGGGUACCCGGAGACCCCCGGCAUCUGGACGCAAGAGCAGGUCGAGGCGUGGAAGCCCAUCGUCGACGCCGUCCACCGCAAGGGCGCCCUCUUCUUCUGCCAAAUGUGGCAUGUCGGCAGGGUCUCCACAAACGGUAGGCAUCCACACUAACAUCUCAAAAUUAAUCUUGUUCAAUCAGCUGCCUGGUUGGUUGAUUAUUGUUCGUUCAAACGCUAAUACGUCGUUGUGAACGAAAUGGCAGAUUUUCAACCUGAUGGACAGGCACCCAUUUCAAGCACGGACAAGCAGAUUUCCCCAGACGCCGAGCCCGGCAUGGUGUACUCCAAGCCGCGGCGGCUGCAGGUGGACGAGAUCCCAGGGAUCGUCGACGACUUCCGGCGCGCUGCGCGGAAUGCCAUUGAGGCAGGGUUUGAUGGCGUGGAGAUACACGGUGCGAAUGGGUACCUCCUUGAGCAAUUCAUGAAGGACGGAGCCAAUGACCGAGAUGAUGAGUACGGUGGAAGCCUCGAGAAUAGGUGCCGCUUCGCAGUGGAGGUGGUCGACGCUGUGGUCCGUGAGGUGGGAGCGCAACGUGUGGGCAUCAGGCUGUCACCGUUCCUCGACUACAUGGACUGUGUGGACUCUGACCCAGCGGCGCUCGCCGACUACAUGGUUCGGCAGCUUAACAAGCACGAGGGGUUCCUCUACUGUCACAUGGUGGAGCCUAGAAUGGCCGUUGUUGAUGGUCGUAGGCAGAUCCCUCACAGGCUUUUGCCAUUCCGGAAGGCAUUCAAUGGUAUGUUCAUUGCCGCUGGCGGAUAUGAUCGUGAGGAAGGCAACAAAGUAGUCACAGAUGGCUACACCGACCUCGUUGCUUAUGGAAGGCUCUUCUUGGCCAAUCCGGACCUACCUAAAAGGUUUGAGCUUGGCGCGCCGCUGAAUGAGUAUGACCGUUCCACAUUCUACACGCAGGAUCCAGUUGUUGGCUAUACGGAUUAUCCGUUCCUUGACGAAGACAGCAGUGACCUAACUGCAAAUGAUGCUUAAUCAUCCAGUUCAAUUGUUCGAUUGUGAUUAAUAAUGUGCUACAUUCUUGCGAGAGGCACAAGUUUUAUUUCUCCCUUCAUUGUUGCUUUGUUGUAUCCAGAAUAAAAUAUCAACUCUGUUGAUCAUAUA